AGGACGAACGCUGGCGGCGUGCCUAAUACAUGCAAGUCGAACGGUCUUUCUAUGGAAGCUUGCUUCCACUGAGAAGAUAGUGGCGAACGGGUGAGUAACACGUGGGUAACCUGCCCAUAAGAGGGGGGAUAACAUCCGGAAACGGGUGCUAAUACCGCAUAGUUUUCUUGAUCGCAUGAUCGGGAAAGGAAAGACGGCCUUUGUGCUGUCGCUUAUGGAUGGACCCGCGGCGUAUUAGUUAGUUGGUGAGGUAACGGCUCACCAAGACGAUGAUACGUAGCCGACCUGAGAGGGUGAUCGGCCACAUUGGGACUGAGACACGGCCCAAACUCCUACGGGAGGCAGCAGUAGGGAAUCUUCCGCAAUGGACGAAAGUCUGACGGAGCAACGCCGCGUGAGUGAAGAAGGUUUUCGGAAUCGUAAAACUCUGUUGUCAGAGAAGAACAAGUUGGAGAGUAACUGCUCCAGCCUUGACGGUAUCUGACCAGAAAGCCACAGCUAACUACGUGCCAGCCGCUGC
rnacentral:rRNA from 1 species